UUACAUUUGGUUUGGUCUAUUUAGGUUUCACACUGUCAUUAGGGUGACCAUAUUCUGACUAUAUUCUGACACAACCACACGGGGGCGGAGUCACAGAGUCACACAAAGUUAAUUUUGAGAGUUUUUCAGGUCAGAUCAAGUGUCUUUCACGCACUUCUAACUUCUUAAGUACACGCGACACAAACUCGAAACUUACGUACAAAACCGCAGACAUUUGAAGGAUUUUAUAAACUUCCCCAGACAAAGCCGGACAAACCUGGACAGCCCCCAAAAAGAGACUAACAGACUUUACAUGACGAACCUACGUGAUAUUUUCAUCAACUACUUGCUUUGUGUGUCUCUGAGGUUUACAUUGAUUGGUCAUUGGGCCGGCGUGCGUCUGACGUCAACAUGUUGAAACCGCAGGUCUUGAAUGGUGUAAACAUGGAUGAAAUCGUCAUUCCCACCAUCAUACUAUUUUUGAUUUUCUACCUCCAACAAUGACAACUUGAGGAGCUGUACAUGAGUCUGGUCCGGGGAAGUCUUAUGACUUUAAUCAUUAGACGACGACUUUACCGACAUCGACAGGAAGGGAAAAGAAAGUAUGCAAUCCUGGGAGACAUUUCAACACCGGCUAGGGAGAAGAGUGUGUAGUAAAACUCUUGAAAAGAUAAGCUGUCAGUAGUGAGGUAAAACUUUAUCUGCAAUAUUGGACAUCUCCAUUCAACAUGAUAACGGACACUUCUACUCCUAGUCAUUUCCUGUCUUGGACAACUCAAUAGGCUACACUGGCUGUGUUCAGAAGUCCAGACUAAACAGAAAAGUCCAGCCCAAACGACGUAGGUGUGAAAGCCCCCUAACCCUAACCCAACACACACACACAAUCAGUCCAUCUAUUUAGACAGAUUCAUGAGAAAGAUGGGAUAAGAUUGAGCCAAACUCAUCUAACACAGUUAUCUGCUGCUACUGCAUUGACGAUGAUGAUAUCCAUAUGAUGACAAUUGAAUUCAUACCACUAUUUGAGCCCAAACUCUGCCUCUCUACUGGUAUAAGAGGGACGUCAAAGGUGGUUUCUAACACUCACAUAUUCUACACUUGAGUGCAAAUGGCCACACAGUUAGAAAAUCUACUAAAAUCCUCCUUAUUAUUCAACAACAACGAAUCAUAAAUCCCAUUAAAUCAGUUAAAACUCCAUAAUGCAAUAAUCUUCUGCAUUAUUCAGAGAUGGCCUACAGGUACGAAAUAUCCAAUUUACUAUAUUACGAUCAAACUGGCUCAUAUUGCAGCUCAUUUGUACCAAGAACAAAAAAGUGAGUUGGUAUAAUGAUUCUGAUAGAGAUGACUGUAAUUAACAGGGAUGGUAUUAGCUGGGAGUUGAGUUAAUUAUAAAUGGAUGACGAUGUGGACUACACAAAACCAUAAGCCAACAUCAAAAUUCUGUGUUUCUUAGUUUCCUUAAAGCUAGUUUUUUUGGAAACCUGGAGCCACAACACAAAUUAGUCCUAUGUGGCACUGUCAAAGGUUGAGUCUUAAGAUCUACUGGUCAUAUCAGAACCCUAUCAUCGUACACCAUCAUCUGAUGAUGGAAUAAGCUCCUGGGAACUGGUGUCAGUGUGAUCCGAGCCGUAACGGUCCAUUGCCUCUCCAUUCAUGUCUGCAAUAUAAACAUCAAUCCUGGGUUCAAGUACAUUCCCCACAGUCGUGGUCGUUCAUCUGUUUCUGAAGGUUUCACAUCAGUUGUUAGUGAACAACGCUGGGGCUUUUAAAGUUUGUUUUAAAUGUAUAAAAAAAAAAUUUAAUCUGCAAGCUUGAUUGAGUCUACCCUCAUGAGGAGGGGGAAAAAACAGCUUUUAAAAUAUUCUGUUCUCAAAUGGGGGUCAUAAUUUCUGGUGCAUUUGAAGUGGUCAGGAAAUUAAAAUUCUUUUUUGAUUUUUGUUUCCGUCUCCUUUAGUUGUCAAGUUUAAAUUUUGUUUAAGAACACAUGGUUGGCAGCACUUGUAUGUAGAUAUCUAAUGGUGAAAGUAUAACAAAAACAACCUCAUAAUACCAGUGAUGGGAGGUGUGUUGUCAGUGAUCUGCUUGCCUUUACUCCACACAGACCAUUUUUCCUGUACACACUCGAGUCCACUGACGCAUAGCUGUUCAGUACUGCUUGGACUACAAACAAUAUACCUGAAUACUUAACACGUUGAAAAACCAGACCCUGUAAAAAGAAAAUAUCUGAUCUGAAGCCAGAUCAUGGCCAUCCAUUCAGUACGCUUACAUGGUGUUAAAAAGAACCAAUAUUGGCGACCAUAUUCUGACCUCCCAAAAAGAGGACACGACUACGCGGAGGCAGAGUCACAGAGUCGCACGAAGUGAAUUUUGAGAAUUUUUCCAGGUUGACUCAAGUGUCUUUUAUACGCUUCUUACUCAGUAAGUCCACGUGACACAAACUCGAAACUUUCGUACAAAACCGCAGACAUUUGAAGGAUUUUUUAAACUUCCUCAGACAAAGCCUGACAGCCCCCAAAAAGAGGACAUGUCCAGGUAAAAGAGGACGUAUGGUCACUCUACAAUUUGGUGCCUUAGUCCAACUUAACCAGACUAUGAAAAUGCAUGCGAACAUAUUAGUUUGACUGAAAUUGCACUAGCAACUCCCCAGUCGGAUUAACAUACCUGGAUCAUGUGGCUGGGGGUUGAUUUUCUCUUCCUAAGCGCUCUUUGCAUUUUCAGGUUUAAGAUAGAACUAAUGACGACACUGGAAGCGCACAAAACAGUGUAUAAAAGGAAAAGAGUUUUAGGGUUGGUUGGGAUUGUUUGGCUUCUGCUGUCUGUCUGAUUGUCAUGAGCUGUGGUUGAUGCUGUAACUACAAUGAAUCCCGCGAGAGGCUGCCGGCUUGAUUCUGUCUUCGUGUAGUUCAUUUUUGCACUUUUGAAUCUAUGAAAUCUACCACAACAAGGAAAUGAAAUAAAAGACAACACUUUCCUUCUGUAAAAAUAAAUGGCACUGAGCUGUAAAAGUGAUGUCCUUUAUCUGUUAGCCUCUCGCUAACGCAUUCUCUUGAUCAUUUAGCCAAACCUCCACUCAACGGUGUAAGUACACAAACUGAGUGUUGAAUUCUUUCCUCUUUGUUUGUUUCAGCCAAAG